UCACAAAGGUUCCAAAACACUGAUGGAUCUGAAGGCAGUACCUGUAUUGGUGUCUGGUCUGUGAUUUCAAGUAUAAUUGAUGUACCUCCUCCUGAUGUAUCUCCUCGAAUACAAUAUAUCUGCCAUGUGAAAGGAACAAGCUGCAAGAUAUACUGUGGAAGUGGGGGCCUAUGUAAAAAACAUUUUAUUUAAAGAAUAUAAAAAAUCUGACACUAAACUACUGAAAAGGUGCACAGGGGACAUUUUUGUGUGUAUAGACUUUCAUCAAGAUUCUGAGAAAGUUGAUUUAUCAAACAAAAAUAGUCAGAUUGUGUCUUCAAAGCUGAAAAGAUUAAGAUCUUAGGAAAACAUUAGGACUCAAGAAAAGUAAAUGGGGUUAUGAAACUGUAGUGUUCAACAUUUAAAUUGUUUUUUGUUUUUUUUUCACUACAUUUUGUGAAGAGGGUUCCAUCACAAGAUGCGACAUAUUGCCUGAUAUUGGUAAGAAUGAGAUGUAGUUUAUAAAAAAAAAGUAUUUUGCUUUAAAUGUGCAGACUUUAAGUUACAUAAAAAAUCAAAGCUCUAACAAUAAAGCUUGAUU
rnacentral:lncRNA from 1 species